UACGUAGGGUCCAAGCGUUAUCCGGAAUCACUGGGCGUAAAGCGUGCGUAGGUGGCGUGUUAAGUGUGAUGUUAAAUCGUGGGGCUCAACCCUGUCGGUGCAUCACAUACUGGCAUGCUAGAGGGAAGCAGAGGCAAGUGGAAUUUGUAGUGUAGCAGUGAAAUGCGUAGAUAUUACAAGGAACACCAAUGGCGAAGGCAGCUUGCUGGGCUUCUUCUGACACUGAGGCACGAAAGCCGGGGGAGCAAACAGG
rnacentral:rRNA from 1 species